rnacentral:rRNA from 1 species
UCGGGUACUUUAGUGGCGAACGGGUGAGUAAUACAUAGGUAACCUACCCUUAAGACGAGGAUAGCCAUUGGAAACGAUGGAUAAAACUGGAUAGGAUAUAGAGGAAGAAUCUUUUAUAUUUAAAAGAGAGAUCUGCUUAAGGAGGGGCCUGUGGCGCAUUAGCUAGUUGGUGGGGUAAGGGCCUACCAAGGCGAUGAUGCGUAGCCGGACUGAGAGGUUGAACGGCCACAAUGGAACUGAGAACGGUCCAUACUCCUACGGGAGGCAGCAGUAGGGAAUUUUCGGCAAUGGGGGGAACCCUGACCGAGCAACGCCGCGUGAACGAAGAAGUUAUUCGUAAUGUAAAGUUCUUUUAUCAGGGAAGAAAGAGGAAUUUGACGGUACCUGAGGAAUAAGCUCCGGCUAACUACGUGCCAGCAGCCGCGGUAAUACGUAGGGAGCGAGCGUUAUCCGGAAUUAUUGGGCGUAAAGGGUGCGUAGAUGGCAUAGUAAGUCUUUUGUAAAAAUGCUGGGCUCAACCCAGUAGGGCAAAAGAUACUGCAAAGCUAGAGUAUGACAGAGGCAAGUGGAACUACAUGUGUAGCGGUAAAAUGCGUAAAUAUAUGUAAGAACACCAGUGGCGAAGGCGGCUUGCUGGGUCGAUACUGACAUUGAGGCACGAAAGCGUGGGGAUCGAACA